CGUAUUACUGUGGUCACAUGACGCAGAGCAGGGCCAAGACACAGGCUAGAAGGAGCGUGGGUCCUUGAAUGACUGCAUGGGGAGGAGUCUCCCCAGUGACCUGCACUGGCCUACGACAUGAGAAAUCACCUCAGAACCAAAUCCUGAAGCUCCCACUGAACCCUGGCUGGGGAGAGAGACAGGUGAAAGACUCUGAGGUCUGGGGGUGCUUAGGGCCAGGCCUCAUGGUCAGAGAGAGAGGCAUAGCUGGGAUUUGAAUCUGAUGUCGUGGUGAGUGCUGGGGACCACCACACAGAGAUGAUUUCCAACUUCCGUGCAACAUGAAAAGGGAAAAAAACUUCAGUCCAACCAGAGAGCUCACAGAAGGCUUCCUGGAGGAGGUGGUGCCUGAGCUAAGCCUUGCAGGAGGACAAAGAGCCCACCAGUGACUGGUGGUGUGUGGAUAUACGGACAUACUGGGUCAUGAUAUGAAAUGCAAUUCUUACUGUGGGUCAUGAUUUUAAAAGCUCAGAAGCCACUGGAUUUACUCAUUUAAUCCUCACAACAACGCUAUGAGGUGUGAAAGUGCAAGUCCAGAGCUGAAUAGCUCAUAAGAACAGAGGUGAGGGCUUCCCUGGUGGCGCAGUGGUUGAGAGUCCGCCUGCCGAUGCAGGGGACGCGGGUUCGUGCCCUGGUCCGGGAGGAUCCCACAUGCUGCGGAGCGGCUGGGCCCGUGAGCCAUGGCCGCUGAGCCUGCGCGUCCGGAG